GCACAAGCGGUGGAUGAUGUGGUUUAAUUCGAUGCAACGCGAAAAACCUUACCCACCUUUGACAUGUACGGAACCCUUUAGAGAUAGAGGGGUGCUCGAAAGAGAGCCGUAACACAGGUGCUGCAUGGCUGUCGUCAGCUCGUGUCGUGAGAUGUUGGGUUAAGUCCCGCAACGAGCGCAACCCUUGUCAUUAGUUGCUACAUUCAGUUGGGCACUCUAAUGAGACUGCCGGUGACAAGCCGGAGGAAGGUGGGGAUGACGUCAAGUCCUCAUGGCCCUUAUAGGUGGGGCUACACACGUCAUACAAUGGCUGGUACAAAGGGUUGCCAACCCGCGAGGGGGAGCUAAUCCCAUAAAGCCAGUCGUAGUCCGGAUCGUAGUCUGCAACUCGACUACGUGAAGUCGGAAUCGCUAGUAAUCGUGGAUCAGAAUGUCUCGGUGAAUACGUUCCCGGGUCUUGUACACACCGCCCGUCACACCAUGGGAGCGGGUUCUGCCAGAAGUAGUUAGCCUAACCGCAAGGAGGGCGAUUACCACGGCAGGGUUCGUGACUGGGGUGAAGUCGUAACAAGGUAACC
rnacentral:rRNA from 1 species